GCUGUCGGAGUCUCCACGUGCCGAUCCUCCCCCUCCCCACCCGGCCCUGUAGCAGCGGCGGCGUCGGCGGCGGCUCGGCAGCUGCCAUGGAGCCUGCGGGUUUGGAACAGAUCCUGAAGGAGCUGCUGCUGCCCGACACGGAGCGCAUCCGCCGGGCUACGGAGCAGCUCCAGACCAUCCUUCGGGACCCUGCUGCCUUGCCCGCACUCUUCGAUCUGCUGGCAACAGCGACCGACUCUCAGAUCCGCCAGUUUGCAGCGGUCCUGACCCGCAGAAGGCUGAACAAUCGCUGGCGACGCCUGGCACCUGAGCAGAGGGAGAGCCUCAAGUCCCUGGUCCUGACAGCACUGCAGAAAGAGACAGUGCAUUCUGUGAGUGUCAGCUUGGCCCAGCUCUCAGCCACCAUUUUUCGAAAGGAAGGCCUACAAGGAUGGCCUCAGUUCAUGAACCUUCUUCAGCACAGCACUCAUAGUUCCCAUAGCCCCGAGAAAGAGGUGGGACUUCUGCUGCUGAGUGUGGUGGUGUCUUCCCAGCCCGAGGCAUUCCAUGCCCACCAGCACGAGCUGCUUCAGCUUCUGAAUGAGACGCUCAGUGACGUCAGCUUUCCCGGAGUGCUCUUCUACUCCCUGCGCACUCUGACUGCCAUCGCCCGCUAUGUCAGGCCGGAUGAUGUGUCUCUUGCACGGAUGUUGGUGCCCAAAGUCGUUACGGCACUGAGGACUCUGAUCCCCUUAGAUGAGGUAAAGGCCUGUGAGGCCCUGGAGGCCCUGGAUGAAAUGCUGGAGACAGAGUUGCCCAUCAUCAACCCCCACCUCUCUGAGGUCCUCACGUUUUGCCUGGAGGUGGCUAAGAAUGUGGCCCUUGGCGAACCACUCCGCGUACGUGUUCUCUGCUGCCUCACUUUCUUGGUCAAAGUCAAAAGUAAGGCCUUACUAAAGAACCGCCUCGUGCCUCCCUUGCUGCACGCCCUUUUCCCCCUCAUGGCUGCUGAGCCACCCAUGGGCCAACUGGAUCCUGAAGAUCAAGAUUCGGAUGACGAUGACUUGGAGAUCGGGCUGAUGGGGGAGACUCCCAAGCACUUUGCUGUACAGGUUGUGGACAUGCUGGCACUACAUCUUCCCCCUGAGAAGCUCUGUCCCCAUGUGAUGCCCAUGCUGGAAGAAGCCUUGCGGAGCGAGGACCCAUACCAGCGCAAAGCAGGAUUCCUGGUGUUGGCUGUGCUGUCUGAUGGUGCAGGCGACCACAUCAGGCAGAGACUGCUGUACCCACUGCUACAGAUUGUGUGCAAGGGCCUGGAUGACCCCUCACAGAUUGUUCGUAAUGCUGCUCUGUUCGCCCUGGGCCAGUUUUCAGAGAACUUACAGCCCCAUAUCAGCAGCUACUCUGAGGAGGUGAUGCCCCUUCUCCUCUCCUACCUGAAGUCAGUGCCGAUGGGAAACACACACCACCUGGCCAAGGCCUGCUAUGCUCUGGAGAAUUUUGUGGAGAACCUAGGGCCCAAAGUGCAGCCCUACCUUCCGGAGCUUAUGGAAUGUAUGCUGCAGCCAUUGAAGAACCCCAGCAAAGCCCGGACCAAGGAGCUAGCUGUGAGCGCCAUAGGGGCCAUUGCCACAGCGGCCCAGGAUUCCCUGCUGCCCUACUUCCCUACCAUCAUGGAUCUUCUCCGGGAGUUCUUGUUGACAGGCCACGAAGACUUUCAUCUUGUGCAGAUCCAGAGCCUGGAGACCCUGGGAGUGCUAGCACGAGCCCUGGGAGAGUCCAUGAAGCCCCUGGCUGAGGAAUGCUGUCAGCUUGGGCUAGGGUUAUGCAUCCAUAUAGAUGACCCUGACGUGAGGCGCUGCACGUACAGCCUGUUUGCAGCCUUAUCAGGGUUAAUGGGAGAGGGCUUGGGACCCUACCUGCCUCAGAUUACCACGCUCAUGCUGCUGUCGCUGCGCUCCACUGAGGGCAUUGUGCCACAGUAUGACGGGAUCAGCUCCUUCCUGCUGUUUGAUGACGACAGCGAAGCAGAAGAGGAGGAGGAGCUCAUGGAUGAAGAUAUGGAAGAGGAGGGGGAUGACUCUGAGAUCUCGGGGUAUAGUGUGGAGAAUGCCUUCUUUGAUGAGAAAGAAGACACCUGCACCGCCCUGGGGGAGAUCUCCAUGAACACCUGUGUGGCUUUUCUCCCAUUCAUGGAUGCCACCUUCGAUGAAGUAUACAAACUGCUGGAGUGCCCUCAUAUGAAUGUGCGGAAGUCAGCUUACGAAGCGCUGGGACAGUUCUGCUGUGCACUGCAUAAGGCCUCUCAGAGAAGCUCCUCAGAUCCCAGCAGCAGUCCCGUUCUGCAGACCUCCCUGGCUCGAGUGAUGCCAGCUUACAUGCAGGCCGUGAAAGUAGAAAGGGAGCGCCCAGUGGUGAUGGCCGUGCUGGAGUCCCUGACAGGGGUGCUGCGCACCUGCGGCAGCCUUGCACUGCAGCCUCCUGGGCGGCUCAGUGAGCUCUGCAACGUGCUCAAGGCUGUGCUGCAGAAAAAGGAGCAGGUAGGGGACCUCAAGCUCAGCUGAAUCCGUCUUCCACAGACGGCCUGUCAGGACGCCGAGGAGGAUGAUGACGAAGAUGAUGACCAGGCAGAGUAUGACGCCAUGUUACUAGAACAUGCUGGAGAGGCCAUUCCCGUCCUGGCAGCCACAGCUGGAGGACACGCCUUCGCUCCCUUCUUUGCCACGUUCUUGCCAUUGUUGCUGUGUAAGACGAAACAGAGCUGUACAGUGGCAGAGAAGUCCUUUGCUGUGGGAACCCUGGCAGAGUCCAUUCAGGGUCUAGGGACCGCCUCAGCCCAGUUUGUGUCUCGGCUGUUCCCUGUGCUGUUAAACAAUGCCCGGGAAGCAGACCCUGAGGUGCGGAGCAAUGCCAUCUUUGGGUUGGGCGUACUGGCAGAGCAUGGCGGCUGCCCUGCUCAGGACCACUUCCCUAAGCUACUGGGCCUCCUUUUGCCCCUGCUGGCAAGGGAGCGACAUGAUCGAGUCCGUGAUAACAUCUGCGGGGCUCUUGCCCGUGUACUGAUGGCCAGUCCAGUAGGAAAAACGGAGCCCCAGGUGCUGGCUACCCUGCUACGUGCCCUGCCCCUGAAGGAAGACAUGGAGGAGUGGCUCACUAUAGGUCACCUCUUCAGCUUCCUGCACCAGAACAAUCCUGAGCAGGUUGUGGAUGUGGCUUCAGAACUCCUGCGCAUCUGCAGCCUGAUCCUGCCGGACAACCGGAUCCCUCCAGACACCAAGGCGGCCCUGCUGCUGCUCCUGACGUUCCUGGCCAAGCAGCACACCGACAGCUUCCACACAGCCCUGGGCUCUCUGCCAAAUGAUAAAGCUCAGGAACUUCAGGCCAUGAUGGGCCUCACUUAAGACUAUAGGCCACAGGGGCCAGGGGUCCGAAGACCGAGGUCAGCCCUGGUCCAGUUCACCUUACCAAAGACUCUAUCCAUUGAAGUCAACUGUGCUGUUUUAACAGGGGUGUCUCUGGGGCUGGACAUCAUACUAUAAUAAAGCAGAGCUGUGACAUCAUACUAUAAUAAAGCAGAGCUGUGACAUCAUACUAUAAGGAAGCAGCUGUGACGUCAUACUAUAAGAAAGCAGAGCUGUGACGUCAUACUAUAAUAAAGGUGGCCUGUCUUCUGCUUGGACACUAGCUUUCUGCACAAAGGCUAGAGGUAUGUGUUCAGAGCUGAGACUGGGAAGGGAGGGGCUGCGCUGAGGACAUACUGUCCCUGCAGAAGUCAGAAUGCGGUCCACCCCCACUGGACGGCUCAGACAGCCUUGAGCUCCAGAGGUUUAAUUCCCUCAUUCCCUUGCACAUCUGGCUGGCACACACACAUAAUUUAAAAUUAAAAAUAAAUCUUGAAAAAAAAAAAGAGGC